UACGUAGGGUCCGAGCGUUGUCCGGAGUUACUGGGCGUAAAGCGCGCGCAGGCGGCUACACAAGCAUGGCGUGAAAGCCCCCGGCUCAACCGGGGAGGGUCGUCGUGGACUGUGUGGCUUGAGGGCGGGAGGGGCUGGUGGAAUUCCCGGUGUAGUGGUGAAAUGCGUAGAGAUCGGGAGGAACACCCGUGGCGAAGGCGGCCAGCUGGACCGACCCUGACGCUGAGGCGCGAAGGCGUGGGGAGCGAACGGGAUUGA
rnacentral:rRNA from 1 species